rnacentral:rRNA from 1 species
GAUGAACGCUGGCGGCGUGCCUAACACAUGCAAGUCGAGCGAACAGAUCAGGAGCUUGCUCCUUUGACGUUAGCGGCGGACGGGUGAGUAACACGUGGGCAACCUACCUAUUGGACUGGGAUACCUACGGGAAAUCGGAGCUAAUACCGGAUAAUAUUUCGACACGCAUGGUUCGCUCGUGAAAGAUGGUUUUGCUUUCACUAAUAGAUGGCCAAGCGCCGUAUUAGUUAGUUGGUGAGGUAGCGGAUUAGCAAGGCGACGAUACGUACCCGACCUGAGCGGGUGAUCGGCCACACUGGAACUGAGACUCAGUCCAGACCCCGACAGGAAGCAGCAGUAGGGAAUCUUCCGCGAGGGGCGAAAGCCUGACGGAGCAACGCCGCGUGAGUGAUGAAGGACUUCUGAUCGUAGAGCGCUGUUGUUAGGGAAGAACAAACGUGUAAUUAACUGUGCACGUCAUGACGGUACCGAAACAGAAAGCCACGGCUAACUACGUG